UACGUAGGGUGCGAGCGUUGUCCGGAAUUAUUGGGCGUAAAGAGCUUGUAGGCGGUUUGUCGCGUCUGCUGUGAAAAUCCGGGGCUCAACUCCGGACUUGCAGUGGGUACGGGCAGGCUAGAGUGUGGUAGGGGAGACUGGAAUUCCUGGUGUAGCGGUGGAAUGCGCAGAUAUCAGGAGGAACACCGGUGGCGAAGGCGGGUCUCUGGGCCGAUACUGACGCUGAGGAGCGAAAGCGUGGGGAGCGAACAGG
rnacentral:rRNA from 1 species